UUGCAAAUAAGACUAUGCUUUUUAUCCACCCACCCACCCAAUUUAUUUUUGUUUUUUCUGAAAACGACUGCUGUCAUCCUUCAACAAAUACUUGCAGUUGCAGCUAUAUGACCUUCACCACCCAAGACUGCACAAUUACAUGUAUUUUUGCUCAUGGAAUGAGCCCAACUCCAUUAACAAUAAUUGAAUAGAGAAUAAAAAGGAGAAACAGGAUUAGAAUUUGAAGAAAUAGGCAUAUUGUAAAAUUGUUUUGCAAUAGCCCCAAGGCAUACCCACCACCCAGUAGAGUGAGGCGAAAAGAGUGGUCGUCAAUGUUGGGAGAGAGAUAGGUAGAGCUUUUAUUUUCACUUGAUUAAUACAUAGAGAGAUCUAGUCAAUACUUGGUAGUUACAGAGAGUAAAGCUAAGAAGCUAAUAUUAGAAAUUAUCUUCCCGUAUAUAUUAGUCAUAAUGGCUAGGAGGAGUCUAGGCCUAAGCCAAGAGCCAGAAGUUCUUCUACCAUCUGCUGCUGAUUAGGUAGCCACCCAAACCCGACGAACGCUCAGCAACACCCAACGCCACCACCCCCAUCGACCACCCACCAUCCAACCAGAAAAGAGGUUGUUGUUCUGGAAGUGGUAUUUAAGGGGAUGAAGGCAAUGAGCCUCUAUGGAAAUUUUACUUUUCAUCAUCUAGUCGGUUGGCCAAAAGAUGGUUUUGUUUAUGCUUUGAAGAUUGCAUACUUAUUUGCCUAUUUUGUUUCCUUAGAUUCUUAAUUCUCCUGUCUUACGGGAAAUAAAUGGUGUUAUAUGUAUUCGUUGGUAAGAUGCUUGUUAAAAUGCCUGAGUGAGAUACUUGUUUAUAAUUGCUUCAAAAAAGAGAAAUUGCAAAAGGUCACUCUACAGUAGAAAUUGCAAAAAAGAGAAAUUCCACAUACAUGUAGAAAUUCCAAAAAAGAGACUGGACUUAUUAUGUCUAUAAUUUAUGUUCAUGAGAAAUUUGUAGUAUUUUGUGGAAUUGAUGUCUAUGUUGUUUUUGGUAGGUGGACUCCAAGUUUGAGACUAUAGUUAGUUGUUGGUUGUGUAUAAAUUAAAUUUCCAAUUUGAUGUUAGGCUUACAUCUAUUGUUGUCAUUGAACCUGUAUCAUUUUGCAUUGGUGUCGUUCAGAUAAUUAUGAAGCAUUUCUUGUGACCUGCUUAGAGCUUGGUGGGCGCUUAUGUUCGAUUACAAUCAUGGAUGUGUUUUAGGAAUUAAAUGAUCUUUAGGAGUGAAGUCAUUAUGUUAUCUGUUUUUGUACUAAUUGGCUAUUGAUCUAUGGAACUGAAAUUCUGGUAUAACUUGAAAACUGAUGUACACAUAAUCUGUCCAUAAUUACUUUGGAGUAACUCUAUAAACUAUGAUAAUUCGCCUUGAAAUUUAUAUAUGACAAAAAGUGAGUUGCUAAUAUGGAAGAGCGGGAGAAUCCUCUAUCCAAGUUUAUCUAAGUACUUGAAACAUCCAUGCUGAUCAUUGGUCAUUCCCAGUCUUAUUGUUUGUGAACAUGUUUUGCAGCACAUCUAAACCAUUUAAUGGAGUUCUACAGCAAGAAAAACUACAGCUGGAUCAAAACUUCCUUGGCUGUAGGUCUCCAGCUUGGCUACAAUGUAAUCUUUGGGUCAUAUGCAUCUUUCCUCCUCAUUCGAACCGGGAAAAGCACACUGGCAUGCUCAUUAAGUAGAGAACUGCAUUCUAGGGGAAAGCUGUCCUAUGUCCUUGAUGGAGAUAACCUUCGGCAUGGACUAAACAAGGACCUUAGUUUCAAAUUAGAAGAUUGAACUGAAAACAUACUUUUGAGUUGAUUAAGAGUCUUCUAGGAACAAAUGUUGAGUGGCUCUACUAUAUUCUUCAGGCAUUCAACUCUGGUGAUUUAGUUCGUUAUCAGGACCUAUGUCAUGUGCACAAUGCUGCUCUGAGGGCUCAGCCAUCAUUAGUUGAGAAUGAGAAAAAGCUGGUGGAAAAGAUAAAUAUUAUCUGCUUGAUGGAAAUUAUUUUCAGCCGGUCAUCUGAUGAUCGAACUAUACCUUUGAGUAUCAUUGCAGAGCGCACAAAACUUUCUAUCGAGGAGGUGGAGCAUCUUCUUAUGAAGAGCCUUUUUGUUCAUCUGAUCGAGGGCAUAAUUGAUCAAAUUGAGGGAACAGUGCAUGUAUCCUGGGUGCAGCCAAGAGUAUUGGGGAUUCCACAGAUCACAUCCUUGCGCGAUCGUCUGGACAAUUGGUUGAAAAAAGUGAACACUGCCUUGAAAUCCAUCGAGGCAGAAACACCUGAUCUUGUUCCCCCCCCCCCUUUGAUUUGCCUCUGCCCAUUGUAACAAUUCAUUAACAUACAAGGGAAAAAAAAUUGGAAAGUCGACCCAAAAAAAAAAUUUAAUAGAGACUCGUCUUUUAAGUUGCAUGGGCAGUAUGGCCAGCUGUAUGCUUCCUUUCUUAUUGCCUAUUUUUGUUGAAUCCUGCUUCUUGAAAGGAGCAGCCUCUUGUGCUUCAUGAAGUCAUCGGUUCCAUAGUGGCAUCCCUAGAGUCAAAUGAAAAACGGUUGUUUUACGCUUUAGAGUGGUUUUUUACACUAUGUAUUUGAAAUUUUUCUUACACAAUCAGAUGUGAUUCUCUUAUUGUUGUUA